rnacentral:lncRNA from 1 species
CUCUUUCUCUCAAGGAAGUCAAAAAACACCUGCAGCCUUACUGUCCCCUUGGAAACAAGAUGAACAUCUACAUUUUCUAGAGUGGGACAAGAAUCUCUGUUCAUAUUUAUGUCCCAUGCAUUUGCACGUGGCCGGACAAAGGACUUUGCUUCUGCCAGCACAUCUGUCUUCAGAUAUGAGAGGAAACAGACACAACCUGGAGGCGGCAAAGAAGCAGCUCUUUCUCAAGUGACCUCCUCUAUCUCCCUACUUCCUGGCUAAUGGGGCAGCCUUGAUCCUUGGGAAUCCAGGACAGAUAUCCACUCGUGACAAACUAGCUGGAAGAAUGACAACCAAUCAGGUUCCAAGCACCACUGGAUGUGAACCACAGAAUUUCCUCCUCUCCUUGUGGAAUGUCAGCUUACGUCUGACAAAAAAUGUAAAACUGAGAGAGUUACAAUCUUAAGGAGGAGUCAAGCUAAAGCAGAAAGAAUCACCUACUCUGGACUCCAGCAUGACUGCUGAGCUCAAAUAUAUAUAUAGAGAGAAAGAACCACAAACUUGAAGAUGGAUAUCAGCUACAGACUUUCCUGAGUCAGGUCUCACCUAAGAAAAUAAACACAUGCUAUGUCAGAGAAGCCUCAGGGCUUCCACACCUGCUCGAAAAGGGAGUUGAGCUUCAGCAGCUGACCCAGGACUCUGUUCCCCUUUGGUGAGAAGGGUUUUUGUUCAGCAAGACAAUGGAGAGCUCUCACUGUGGUGGACGUUCGGCCAAGGGACCAAGGUGGAAAUCAAACGUGAGUAGAAUUUAAACUUUGCUUCCUCAGUUGUCUGUGUCUUCUGUUCCCUGUGUCUAUGAAGUGAUCUAUAAGGUGACUCUGCAAUCAGCCUCUGAUAUCCUUCAGGGAAAAGAUAAAGAUAAGUCUGUAGUCAAACUCGAGAAUUGAUUGCACAUUUUCUUUGAAGAGCAAGCAAGAUUCAGUCAUUGGGUGAGAAUAACUUGUCUAAGUAAUAGCUUCAGAAAUGUCCUGGGGAACAUAACAUGUUCUGGACAGAGCCUUGGUCAAUUGUCAGAAAGGGAGUUUUUGUAUAGGAGGGAAGUUAAGAGGAACCAUUGUGUGUGCAGUUUUGGCCAGGGGACCAAGCUGGAGAUCAAACGUAAGUACUUUUUUCCACUGAUUCUUCACUGUUGCUAAUUAGUUUACUUUGUGUUCCUUUGUGUGGAUUUUCAUUAGUCGGAUGCCAGGGAUCUAACAAACUUCAUUCCCAGGUUAGGUACAGAGGAGGGGAAAUUGUUCCACAGGACGCUAGCUUGUGGCUAAUUUUUAAGAUUUCUAAAUCAAAAUAACUUCAUUGGGGGAAAGAGGCUUGCUGAGCUUUCAGGGAGGUUUUUGUAAAGGGAAAAGUUAAGACGAAUCACUGUGAUUCACUUUCGGCCCUGGGACCAAAGUGGAUAUCAAACGUAAGUACAUCUGUCUCAAUUAUUCGUGAGAUUUUAGUGCCAUUGUAUCAUUUGUGCAAGUUUUGUGAUAUUUUGGUUGAAUAAACCUGGUGACCCAGAAGUAAAUAGCAGGACACCAGAAAAUGAACUUAAAAAGCUGAGCAAAUAGACGAAUCAUUGGGUUUGAGAGGAGAAUAGGAUUCAUGGGGGAAAUGGGGAAGAAAUAGCUAGAUUUUUCUCUGAACAAGCAGCCUAUCUCAUAUGAUUGGCUUCAAGAGAGGUUUUUGUUGAGGGGAAAGGGUGAGAUCCCUCACUGUGGCUCACUUUCGGCGGAGGGACCAAGGUGGAGAUCAAACGUAAGUGCACUUUCCUAAUGCUUUUUCUUAUAAGGUUUUAAAUUUGGAGCGUUUUUGUGUUUGAGAUAUUAGCUCAGGUCAAUUCCAAAGAGUACCAGAUUCUUUCAAAAAGUCAGAUGAGUAAGGGAUAGAAAAUUAGUUCAUCUUAAGGAACAGCCAAGCGCUAGCCAGUUAAGUGAGGCAUCUCAAUUGCAAGAUUUUCUCUGCAUCGGUCAGGUUAGUGAUAUUAACAGCGAAAAGAGAUUUUUGUUAAGGGGAAAGUAAUUAAGUUAACACUGUGGAUCACCUUCGGCCAAGGGACACGACUGGAGAUUAAACGUAAGUAAUUUUUCACUAUUGUCUUCUGAAAUUUGGGUCUGAUGGCCAGUAUUGACUUUUAGAGGCUUAAAUAGGAGUUUGGUAAAGAUUGGUAAAUGAGGGCAUUUAAGAUUUGCCAUGGGUUGCAAAAGUUAAACUCAGCUUCAAAAAUGGAUUUGGAGAAAAAAAGAUUAAAUUGCUCUAAACUGAAUGACACAAAGUAAAAAAAAAAAGUGUAACUAAAAAGGAACCCUUGUAUUUCUAAGGAGCAAAAGUAAAUUUAUUUUUGUUCACUCUUGCCAAAUAUUGUAUUGGUUGUUGCUGAUUAUGCAUGAUACAGAAAAGUGGAAAAAUACAUUUUUUAGUCUUUCUCCCUUUUGUUUGAUAAAUUAUUUUGUCAGACAACAAUAAAAAUCAAUAGCACGCCCUAAGAAAAAUCAGGGAAAAGUGAAGUGUACCUAUUUGCUAUGUAGAAGAGGCAGCUUACUUGAAAAUCAGCAGCAAUGUUGUUUUUAGAGUCUGUAAUAAGUAAUAAACUCAAAAAGACACAUUCUAUAGGAAUAAGGGCUUCACAGAUAGAGCUCAUUUUUUAAAAAUCCAAUUUGUACAUUAGACUAAACGUGAAAUUAUCUCUUAUUGUAAUGGUGGAAAGGUGGUUAUUCCCAAAAGCUCAAUCUCAAAGAAAUGUGUUUAAAUGAAAAAAAGUAAAUAAUUGCAUUUUUUAAUGACCGUGGGUCUGUGAAAAAAAUAGGAAAUAUUUUAAAGAGUAUGUUCUUUCAUUAUCCUCUGUUAUUACUUGUCUACAUUUUUAUUCUGCCAAGAAGGCCGUGGCACCGCGAGCUGUAGACAGAGCCGCGGUCUUUCUCGAUUGAGUGGCUUUGGUGGCCAUGCCACCGCGCUCUUGGGGCAGCCGCCUUGCCGCUAGUGGCCGUGGCCACCCUGUGUCUGCCCGAUUGAUGCUGCCGUAGCCAGCUUUCCUGAUGCACAGUGAUACAAAUAAUGCCACUAAGGGAAAGAGAACAGAAACGUAAUGGGCGCUGAGCUGGGAAAACCAGGGAGAAGACUGAUUUAUUAGAGAUUUCAGAAAUAAAAUUCACAUUCAUUAUGAUAUCUCAUUAGUGAAAAUUUCCAUUAGGGGAUUGUAAAUAAUUUAAAGCUUUUUUUUUUUUCAGUGCUAUUUAAUUAUUUCAAUAUCCUCUCAUCAAAUGUAUUUAAAUAACAAAAGCUCAACCAAAAAGAAAGAAAUAUGUAAUUCUUUCAGAGUAAAAAUCACACCCAUGACCUGGCCACUGAGGGCUUGAUCAAUUCACUUUGAAUUUGGCAUUAAAUACCAUUAAGGUAUAUUAACUGAUUUUAAAAUAAGAUAUAUUCGUGACCAUGUUUUUAACUUUCAAAAAUGUAGCUGCCAGUGUGUGAUUUUAUUUCAGUUGUACAAAAUAUCUAAACCUAUAGCAAUGUGAUUAAUAAAAACUUAAACAUAUUUUCCAGUACCUUAAUUCUGUGAUAGGAAAAUUUUAAUCUGAGUAUUUUAAUUUCAUAAUCUCUAAAAUAGUUUAAUGAUUUGUCAUUGUGUUGCUGUCGUUUACCCCAGCUGAUCUCAAAAGUGAUAUUUAAGGAGAUUAUUUUGGUCUGCAACAACUUGAUAGGACUAUUUUAGGGCCUUUUUAAAGCUCUAUUAAAACUAACUUACAACGAUUCAAAACUGUUUUAAACUAUUUCAAAAUGAUUUUAGAGCCUUUUGAAAACUCUUUUAAACACUUUUUAAACUCUAUUAAAACUAAUAAGAUAACUUGAAAUAAUUUUCAUGUCAAAUACAUUAACUGUUUAAUGUUUAAAUGCCAGAUGAAAAAUGUAAAGCUAUCAAGAAUUCACCCAGAUAGGAGUAUCUUCAUAGCAUGUUUUUCCCUGCUUAUUUUCCAGUGAUCACAUUAUUUUGCUACCAUGGUUAUUUUAUACAAUUAUCUGAAAAAAAUUAGUUAUGAAGAUUAAAAGAGAAGAAAAUAUUAAACAUAAGAGAUUCAGUCUUUCAUGUUGAACUGCUUGGUUAACAGUGAAGUUAGUUUUAAAAAAAAAAAAAACUAUUUCUGUUAUCAGCUGACUUCUCCCUAUCUGUUGACUUCUCCCAGCAAAAGAUUCUUAUUUUACAUUUUAACUACUGCUCUCCCACCCAACGGGUGGAAUCCCCCAGAGGGGGAUUUCCAAGAGGCCACCUGGCAGUUGCUGAGGGUCAGAAGUGAAGCUAGCCACUUCCUCUUAGGCAGGUGGCCAAGAUUACAGUUGACCUCUCCUGGUAUGGCUGAAAAUUGCUGCAUAUGGUUACAGGCCUUGAGGCCUUUGGGAGGGCUUAGAGAGUUGCUGGAACAGUCAGAAGGUGGAGGGGCUGACACCACCCAGGCGCAGAGGCAGGGCUCAGGGCCUGCUCUGCAGGGAGGUUUUAGCCCAGCCCAGCCAAAGUAACCCCCGGGAGCCUGUUAUCCCAGCACAGUCCUGGAAGAGGCACAGGGGAAAUAAAAGCGGACGGAGGCUUUCCUUGACUCAGCCGCUGCCUGGUCUUCUUCAGACCUGUUCUGAAUUCUAAACUCUGAGGGGGUCGGAUGACGUGGCCAUUCUUUGCCUAAAGCAUUGAGUUUACUGCAAGGUCAGAAAAGCAUGCAAAGCCCUCAGAAUGGCUGCAAAGAGCUCCAACAAAACAAUUUAGAACUUUAUUAAGGAAUAGGGGGAAGCUAGGAAGAAACUCAAAACAUCAAGAUUUUAAAUACGCUUCUUGGUCUCCUUGCUAUAAUUAUCUGGGAUAAGCAUGCUGUUUUCUGUCUGUCCCUAACAUGCCCUGUGAUUAUCCGCAAACAACACACCCAAGGGCAGAACUUUGUUACUUAAACACCAUCCUGUUUGCUUCUUUCCUCAGGAACUGUGGCUGCACCAUCUGUCUUCAUCUUCCCGCCAUCUGAUGAGCAGUUGAAAUCUGGAACUGCCUCUGUUGUGUGCCUGCUGAAUAACUUCUAUCCCAGAGAGGCCAAAGUACAGUGGAAGGUGGAUAACGCCCUCCAAUCGGGUAACUCCCAGGAGAGUGUCACAGAGCAGGACAGCAAGGACAGCACCUACAGCCUCAGCAGCACCCUGACGCUGAGCAAAGCAGACUACGAGAAACACAAAGUCUACGCCUGCGAAGUCACCCAUCAGGGCCUGAGCUCGCCCGUCACAAAGAGCUUCAACAGGGGAGAGUGUUAGAGGGAGAAGUGCCCCCACCUGCUCCUCAGUUCCAGCCUGACCCCCUCCCAUCCUUUGGCCUCUGACCCUUUUUCCACAGGGGACCUACCCCUAUUGCGGUCCUCCAGCUCAUCUUUCACCUCACCCCCCUCCUCCUCCUUGGCUUUAAUUAUGCUAAUGUUGGAGGAGAAUGAAUAAAUAAAGUGAAUCUUUGCACCUGUGGUUUCUCUCUUUCCUCAUUUAAUAAUUAUUAUCUGUUGUUUUACCAACUACUCAAUUUCUCUUAUAAGGGACUAAAUAUGUAGUCAUCCUAAGGCGCAUAACCAUUUAUAAAAAUCAUCCUUCAUUCUAUUUUACCCUAUCAUCCUCUGCAAGACAGUCCUCCCUCAAACCCACAAGCCUUCUGUCCUCACAGUCCCCUGGGCCAUGGUAGGAGAGACUUGCUUCCUUGUUUUCCCCUCCUCAGCAAGCCCUCAUAGUCCUUUUUAAGGGUGACAGGUCUUACAGUCAUAUAUCCUUUGAUUCAAUUCCCUGAGAAUCAACCAAAGCAAAUUUUUCAAAAGAAGAAACCUGCUAUAAAGAGAAUCAUUCAUUGCAACAUGAUAUAAAAUAACAACACAAUAAAAGCAAUUAAAUAAACAAACAAUAGGGAAAUGUUUAAGUUCAUCAUGGUACUUAGACUUAAUGGAAUGUCAUGCCUUAUUUACAUUUUUAAACAGGUAC